rnacentral:rRNA from 1 species
AUGGCGGCGGUCGGCGGCGCGGGCAACGGAGCCGGCGAGGAGGCAGGUGGGGCCGAGUUCUACCUGCGGUACUACGUGGGGCACAAGGGCAAGUUCGGGCACGAGUUCCUCGAGUUCGAGUUCCGCCCCGACGGCAAGCUCCGCUACGCCAACAACUCCAACUACAAGAACGACACCAUGAUCCGCAAGGAGGUCUUCGUCUCCCCCUCCGUGCUCCGCGAGGCCAGGAGGAUCAUCCAGGACUCGGAGAUAAUGAAGGAGGACGACAGCAACUGGCCGGAGCCCGACCGCGUCGGCAGGCAGGAGCUCGAGAUUGUCAUGGGCAACGAGCACAUCUCCUUCACCACCUCCAAGAUCGGCUCCCUCGUUGACGUCCAGACCAGCAAGGACCCGGAGGGCCUCCGCAUCUUCUACUACCUCGUCCAGGACCUUAAAUGUUUCGUGUUUUCACUUAUCAACCUCCACUUUAAGAUCAAGCCUAUUCAGCUUUGA